AGAAAAACAAGUAUAACCUAUCAGACGAGGAUGAAGAGGACUUUGAAAUUGGUGCCUCAUUGGGAAGAGAUGAUUUUGAUGAAGAAGUCCCAUUUGAUGAGGAUGAGGAGGAUUAUGGGAGAGAUGAUAAGUCAGCUAUCUUGGGACAACUUAACUCUCAUGGAUCUCAGAAUGCCCAAGCAGGUCCUAUGGAAGUAGAGGAAAAUAGGAAGAAAAGCAAGAAAGAAGUAAUGGAGGAAAUCAUUCAAAAGAGUAAAUUCUUUAAGGCCCAAAAAGCGAAGGACAGAGAAGAAAAUGACGAAUUAACUGAACAAUUGGACAAAGACUUUACAUCACUGGUGAAUUCGAAAGCCUUGUUGUCCCUGACCCAACCAGACAAGAUACAUGCUCUGAAGGCUCUUGUGAACCAGAACAUUUCAGUUGGUAAUGUGAAGAAAGAUGAGGUACCUGAUGCUCCCAGAAAAGGACCUAUUGGAAAGGAGAAGGCCG
rnacentral:misc_RNA from 1 species